UACGUAGGGGGCUAGCGUUGUUCGGAUUCACUGGGCGUAAAGGGCAUGUAGGCGGUUAUGUAAGUGUGGGUUGAAAGACCGGAGCUUAACUCCGAGUUUGGUCUGCAAACUGCGUAACUAGAGUGCAGGAGGGGAGACUGGAAUUCCGCGUGUAGGGGUGAAAUCUGUAGAUAUGCGGAAGAAUACCGGUGGCGAAGGCGAGUCUCUGGCCUGUAACUGACGCUAAUAUGCGAAAGUGUGGGGAG
rnacentral:rRNA from 1 species